rnacentral:rRNA from 1 species
AGAGUUUGAUCCUGGCUCAGAUUGAACGCUGGCGGAAUGCUUUACACAUGCAAGUCGAACGAUGAAGUCUAGCUUGCUAGACGGAUUAGUGGCGAACGGGUGAGUAAUAUAUCGGAACGUAUCCAUUAAUGGGGGAUAACUAGUCGAAAGAUUGGCUAAUACCGCAUACGUCCUACGGGAGAAAGCUAGGGACCUUCGGGCCUGGCGUUAAUGGAGCGGCCGAUAUCUGAUUAGCUAGUUGGUGAGGUAAAGGCUCACCAAGGCGACGAUCAGUAGCUGGUCUGAGAGGACGACCAGCCACACUGGAACUGAGACACGGUCCAGACUCCUACGGGAGGCAGCAGUGGGGAAUUUUGGACAAUGGGGGCAACCCUGAUCCAGCCAUGCCGCGUGAGUGAAGAGGGCCUUCGGGUUGUAAAGCUCUUUCAGCUGGAAAAAAAUCGCAUCACCUAAUACGUGGUGUGGAUGAUGGUACCAGCAGAAGAAGCACCGGCUAACUACGUGCCAGCAGCCGCGGUAAUACGUAGGGUGCGAGCGUUAAUCGGAAUUACUGGGCGUAAAGCGUGCGCAGGCGGUUUUGUAAGACAGACGUGAAAUCCCCGGGCUUAACCUGGGAACUGCGUUUGUGACUGCAAGGCUAGAGUAUGGCAGAGGGGGGUAGAAUUCCACGUGUAGCAGUGAAAUGCGUAGAUAUGUGGAGGAAUACCGAUGGCGAAAGCAGCCCCCUGGGUCAAUACUGACGCUCAUGCACGAAAGCGUGGGGAGCGAACGGGAUUAGAUACCCCGGUAGUCCACGCUGUAAACGAUGGAUACUAGGUGUAGGCGGUCAUUAACCCCGUCUGUGCCGAAGCCAACGCGUUAAGU